GGCUUCGUGGUCGAGUGGUAAGAACAUUUAUCUCUAACUCUGGAGUCCUAGGUUCGAUCCCUGGUCGUGGUGCU